rnacentral:rRNA from 1 species
CCAGACUCCUACGGGAGGCAGCAGUGGGGAAUAUUGCACAAUGGGGGAAACCCUGAUGCAGCAACGCCGCGUGAGUGAGGAAGUAUUUCGGUAUGUAAAGCUCUAUCAGCAGGGAAUAGAAAAGAAGGUACCUGAAAAAGAAGCCCCGGCUAACUACGUGCCAGCAGCCGCGGUAAUACGUAUGGUGCAAGCGUUAUCCGGAUUUACUGGGCGUAAAGGGAGCGCAGGCGGCGCGCCAAGUCUGAUGUGAAACCCCGGGGCUCAACCCCGGGCAUGCAUUGGAAACUGGCGGGCUGGAGUGCCGGAGAGGUAAGCGGAAUUCCUAGUGUAGCGGUGAAAUGCGUAGAUAUUAGGAAGAACACCAGUGGCGAAGGCGGCUUUCUGGACUGAAACUGACGCUGAGGCACGAAAGCGUGGGGAGCGAACAGGAUUAGAUACCCGUGUA